GGCUGUGAUACCUCAGUUGGUAGAAUAUGAGACUCUUAAUCUCAUGUUUGUGGGUUCAAGCCCCAUAUUGGGCA